rnacentral:rRNA from 1 species
UACAGAGGGGGCAAGCGUUGUUCGGAAUUACUGGGCGUAAAGGGCGCGUAGGCGGCCUUCUAAGUCGAACGUGAAAUCCCCGGGCUCAACCCGGGAACUGCGUCCGAUACUGGAAGGCUUGAAUCCGGGAGAGGGAUGCGGAAUUCCAGGUGUAGCGGUGAAAUGCGUAGAUAUCAGGAGGAACACCGGUGGCGAAGGCGGCUACCUGGCCUAAGACUGACGCUGAGGUGCGAAAGCGUGGGGAGCGAACGGG